UACGAAGGGGGCUAGCGUUGCUCGGAAUCACUGGGCGUAAAGGGUGCGUAGGCGGGUCUUUAAGUCAAGGGUGAAAUCCUGGAGCUCAACUCCAGAACUGCCUUUGAUACUGAGGAUCUUGAGUUCGGGAGAGGUGAGUGGAACUGCGAGUGUAGAGGUGAAAUUCGUAGAUAUUCGCAAGAACACCAGUGGCGAAGGCGGCUCACUGGCCCGAUACUGACGCUGAGGCACGAAAGCGUGGGGAGCAAACA
rnacentral:rRNA from 1 species